rnacentral:rRNA from 1 species
GACGUAGGGCGCGAGCGUUGUCCGGAUUUAUUGGGCGUAAAGCGCGCGUAGGCGGCCUCGUAAGUCCGUUGUGAAAGUCAAAGGCUCAACCUUUGAAAGCCGAUGGAUACUGUGAGGCUAGAGUCCGGAAGAGGCGAGUGGAAUUCCUGGUGUAGCGGUGGAAUGCGCAGAUAUCAGGAGGAACACCAAUAGCGAAGGCAGCUCGCUGGGACGGUACUGACGCUAAGGCGCGAAAGCGUGGGGAGCGAACAGG